AGAGCGAACGCUGGCGGCAUGCUUAACACAUGCAAGUCGCACGGGCAGCAAUGUCAGUGGCGGACGGGUGAGUAACGCGUAGGUAUCUAUCCUUGGGUGGGGGACAACGGCUGGAAACGGCUGCUAAUACCGCAUGAUAACUGAGGUUUAAAGGCGCAAGUCGCCUGGGGAGGAGCCUGCGUACGAUUAGCUAGUUGGUGGGGUAAAGGCCUACCAAGGCAACGAUCGUUAGCUGGUCUGAGAGGAUGAUCAGCCACAUUGGGACUGAGACACGGCCCAAACUCCUACGGGAGGCAGGCAGUGGGGAAUAUUGGACAAUGGGCGAAAGCCUGAUCCAGCAAUGCCGCGUGUGUGAAGAAGGUCUUCGGAUUGUAAAGCACUUUCGACAGGGACGAUGAUGACGGUACCUGUAGAAGAAGCCCGGCUAACUUCGCGCCAGCAGCCGC
rnacentral:rRNA from 1 species